rnacentral:snoRNA from 1 species
GGUCUCCUGUUACUUACUACAGGCUGUGUUCACAGUGAAAACCUACCCCAUACACAUCUCAGCCCAGACCCUGUGCUUGGUCUGUAUUAAUAGAGUUAUAAUA